rnacentral:rRNA from 1 species
GGACCCGCACAAGCGGUGGAUGAUGUGGAUUAAUUCGAUGCAACGCGAAGAACCUUACCUACCCUUGACAUGUACCGAAGCUCGAUGAGAGUCGAGUGUGCCCGAAAGGGAGCGGUAACACAGGUGCUGCAUGGCUGUCGUCAGCUCGUGUCGUGAGAUGUUGGGUUAAGUCCCGCAACGAGCGCAACCCUUGCCACUAGUUGCUACGGAAACGGGCACUCUAGUGGGACUGCCGGUGACAAACCGGAGGAAGGUGGGGAUGACGUCAAGUCCUCAUGGCCCUUAUGGGUAGGGCUUCACACGUCAUACAAUGGCGCAUACAGAGGGUAGCCAACCCGCGAGGGGGAGCCAAUCUCAGAAAGUGCGUCGUAGUCCGGAUUGCAGUCUGCAACUCGACUGCAUGAAGUCGGAAUCGCUAGUAAUCGCGGAUCAGCAAUGUCGCGGUGAAUACGUUCCCGGGUCUU